UACAGAGGGAGCAAGCGUUGUUCGGAAUUACCGGGCGUAAAGGGCGCGUAGGCGGUUCGAUAAGUCCCGUGUGAAAUCCCUCGGCUCAACUGAGGAAUGGCACGGGAAACUGACGGGCUUGAGUUCGGGAGAGGGAAGCGGAAUUCCGGGUGUAGCGGUGAAAUGCGUAGAUAUCCGGAGGAACACCGGUGGCGAAGGCGGCUUCCUGGACCGACACUGACGCUGAGGCGCGAAAGCUAGGGGAGCAAACGGG
rnacentral:rRNA from 1 species